GAUGAACGCUGGCGGCGUGCCUAAUACAUGCCAGUCGAGCGAACAGAUAAGGAGCUUGCUCCUUUGACGUUAGCGGCGGACGGGUGAGUAACACGUGGGUAACCUACCUAUAAGACUGGAAUAACUCCGGGAAACCGGGGCUAAUGCCGGAUAACAUUUAGAACCGCAUGGUUCUAAAGUGAAAGAUGGUUUUACUAUCACUUAUAGAUGGACCCGCGCCGUAUUAGCUAGUUGGUAAGGUAACGGCUUACCAAGGCAACGAUACGUAGCCGACCUGAGAGGGUGAUCGGCCACACUGGAACUGAGACACGGUCCAGACUCCUACGGGAGGCAGCAGUAGGGAAUCUUCCGCAAUGGGCGAAAGCCUGACGGAGCAACGCCGCGUGAGUGAUGAAGGUCUUCGGAUCGUAAAACUCUGUUAUUAGGGAAGAACAAAUGUGUAAGUAACGGUGCACGUCUUGACGGUACCUAAGCAGAAAGCCACGGCUAACUACGU
rnacentral:rRNA from 1 species